rnacentral:rRNA from 1 species
UAGGGAAUCUUCCGCAAUCGGCGAAAGCCUGUCGGAGCAACGCCGCGUGAGUGAUGAAGGUUUUCGGAUCGUAUAACUCUGUUAUUCGGGAAGAACAAAUGUGUAUGUAACUAUGCACGUCUUGACGGUACCUACUCAGAAAGCCACGGCUAACUACGUGCCAGCUGCCGCGGUACUACGUAGGUGGCAAGCGUUAUCCGGUAUUAUUGGGCGUAAAGCGCGCGUAGGCGGUUUUUUAAGUCUGGUGUUAAAGCCCACGGCUCAACCGUGGAGGGUCAUUGGAGACUGGAAAACUUGAGUGCAGAAGAGGAAAGUGGAAUGCCAUGUGUAGCGGUGAAAUGAGCAGAGAUAUGGAGGAACACCAGUGGAGAAGGCGACUUUCUGGUCUGUAACUGACGCAGAUGUGCGAAAGCGUGGGGAUCAAACAGG